rnacentral:lncRNA from 1 species
GUGCAACAUGGUUAUGGGUACUACAGUGGAUGUGAGUGUGUAGACCUUGUACAAUAGAGCUUAUAGGCUAAUGAGAAGACAGGAAGAAACAACAGGAACACAUAUAGCUGGAAUGCAGAUGGGAUCUGUGCUACUUACGCUAGCCAUGGGAUGAUUAGAACAAGAUAAGAGACAUGAGGAAGACUUCUUCAAGGAGGUGCUCAAGCCAUGUUUUGGAAAAGAGAACUCAAGGUCUGGCAGGGAGAAAGGAGCAAGGGCAAGUAGAGCUGCAGCUGUCUGGCGCCACUGUAAUGCUGUCUCCUCCUCUGAGUGAGUUCAUCCUGGAAACAUUUUCUCCCAUAAGACAUGCACAGGUCUUACGUUUACAUGUUUCACUGAAAGAAAUUUGAUUCCACUGCUGGGAUGACAAGGUAGGUCAUAAAUGAACACUUUUUAAGCACAUCUUUAAAAAAAUAAUUUAUUCCAAUUGUACAAAACAAUAGGGGAAAGGAAAUAAUAUUGAUUUGUUUAUCCAUUCAUUGGUUUAACAAUUACCUAUUGUAGGCACUUACUAUGAGCCAGGGAUGGUUCUAAGUAUAAACCUGCCCUGGAGGAUCACAUAUUAAUUUUUCUUACAACCAGCUUUAUUGAGGUAUACUUGCUAUACAAUAAAAUUCACUCAUUUUAAGUGUAAAGUUUGAUGCAUUUUGACAAAUGCACGGGGUAGUAUAACCACUACUAGGAUCAAGAUAGAGAAUAUUUACAUCACCCUGAAAAGAUUGCUUGCACUGCUUGUAGUCAAUCUCCUACCCUCCCCCCAGCUACUGGCAACCACUGAUCUGCUUUCUGUCACUAUAGUUUUGCCUUUUCUAACAUGUCAUAUAAGAAGCAUAUAUUUUAGCAGUGAAUACAACCAAAUGAGUAAAUAGACAUUUGCAUUCCCAAGUGAGGCAAGAGCUUUGAAAUGGGACAUACAGGCUGUGCUAUGGAAGCAUGUAAGCUAAGUUGGAAAGAGGCUUCUAAGCUGAGAUCUGAAGGGGCAGUAGCAGUUUUCUAGGCGAAGAGUGAGAGUAAAGAGUGUUCCAUGCUGUGAGGCUACUAUAUGCAAAGGCCAAGAGGAGACAGACCGCAAGGCAGAUUCAUCUGGGACCUACAAGUUUUCACAGCUCAAGGAUGGAGUAGGAGAGGGUAGGAGUGGUUAGUCAAGACUUUGAAGAGAUAAACCAGUUCAAACAAAGAAGUUCUUUCUAAGCAUUGUUUGACCUUUAUUCCCAGUAGGGAGCUAUGGAAGGAUCUUCAGCAGAAAACUGAUGGGUUCAGAUUUGCAUUUUAGAAGGAUCACUCUCUUGCAUGUAGGGAACAGAUGGAGGGCAAGGCAGGAGGUAGGGCCCCCCAUUAAGAGGCUGGUGCAGUGAUCCAGAUGAGAGAUGCUCAGAGCCGCCACCAGGGGAGGGCAGGCAGUGAAAAUGAAGAGAAGUGGAUAAAUAUUUGAGAAAUGUAGGAAGCAGCAGUAACAGGAAUUAGUAACUAACUGGAUAGCGGAGAGGAUGCGAGAGAAAGGCCUCACGGAGGAUUCUUUGGUUUCUAGCUUGGACACCUGGGUGGAAGAUGGUGGCAUCAAUAAGAUAGCAACUUCAGUGGAGCAGGGUUGGAGGGGUAGGGAGAAGAGACAAUAGGUUCUGUUUUAGACAUGUUGAAUUUGGGGGUGUCUAAGAAAAUGAUGUCCAGCAGACAGUUGGGUGUUCAGGUCUCAGGAAAGAGCUCUCCACGGAGCUUAUUCUUUUCUAGUCUCUGUAAACAAGCUUCCAGGCUCUUUCAUAAAAUUUCCUUGCAAAAAAAUCAAAGGAUUUGUCCUGUCAAGUGGAAUGUUUUUCAUAUGAAGGGGAUUGGCUUCUUGUGUAGUUUAGUCUAGAGAGAUUUGUUUCCAUGCUACAAACCUUUGAAAAACCGGGAAAAAAGUAGUGAUGUCCAACUUUAGUGACAUCUCCUCUUCUUCCUCAAUACAAUCAAUCCAUUGACAUAAUAAUGUUGAAUAUCUUGCAGAUGAGGAAAGAAAAAUGGAGUCAAAUGAGCACACCGAGGCCAACCAGAUCUGAGCUUUCUAAUCUUAAAUUGCCUGGGGGUGUGGAUGUUAUGUGUCUACUGACAUGGACAGAUUGUGUAUGGUUGCCUUUAUAAAAUGAAGCCCAUAGAAAUGUUUCAGUAAAUACAGUCCUCCAAGUGAACUAAAUGUCAAAGGAAAAUCUUUUCCUUGCCAUCCUCCUUUUCUCUUUUAAACGGAAAGAUCCUAAAGAAGCUGUAUUAGUGCCCUCAAGAGAAACAGAAGCAAUAGGAUAUAUAGAUCUAUAUAUUGGAUCCUAUAUCUAGGAAUAGGAUAUAUAGAUGUAUAUAUCCUAUAUAUAGAUCUGUCCUAUUGAUCUAUAGAUCUAUAUAGAUAUAUAUCUUAUAUCAAUAUAUAGGAUAUAUAGAGAGGUACACACAUAGGCCUGAUGUAUAUACAUAGGUCUGAUGUCUGAGGCCAGAAGAUAGAUGCCCCAGCUCAAGAAGGGAGCACAUUCACCCUUACUCUGCCUUUUGACGCUACUUGGGUUCUCCAUGGAUUAGAUGGUGCUCACCCACAUUGGUGAGGGCAGGUGUUCUUUAUGCAGCUACCCUCAUGACACACCCAGAAAUAAUGUUUUACCAGCUGUCUGGGCAAGCCCUUGGCCCAGUCAAAUUGACACAUAAAGGUAGCCAUCAUAGAAACUCAUUUCAAUGUUGUUUUGUUUUAUUACAGGAAGACUGAAGAAACCUAAUCCUAGGUGCUGCCACUGGGACAAACAAGAAGCACCAGACACAGUGCUGUUUUAGGGUGGGGCAGAAUUAUGCUGAGGGAAAAGUUAUUAUCACUCUUUAAGGCCAAGGAAACCACAAUUUUUAAAGAAGCUUCUAGAAAUUCUACCCAGUAGAAAAUAAAGAUAAACUUCUGUAAGGAAUUUCAUUCUUUUCAGAAUUCGCAAUCUGAAAUGUAGAAGCCCAUUCCUUCAUGGUUCUCAUAGAUAUUUAGUGUGACUGAGGGGUCAGUGGACUCAUAGCACUCAGGCCAGGCUUCUCCUGAGUCCCUUUCUUUGGCACAGAGGGAGUGAUUCACAGAUCCUCUACCCCCAAAGGCAUUGUUUCCUCAUCUCAACAAGAAUCCAGCACCCGUCAUUUUAUCAGCACACGUCACUAGCUUCUCAAGUGAGACUACUCUGAAGUGAUCUGUGUUUGAAGAAUGCCUUUCCCUUUCCCUUACGUAACUAAGAGGAUGAAAAAGGACACUCACUCCCUAUAUGAAAGCUGUGUAUUGUAAGCAGUCAUCUUGCCUGGCUGAGAACUCUAGGAUCUUUUUCUCUGCUCUCCUUUAGGCUGACACUCAUAGCCAGACCUUCUGUUUAUUAGCCCCCUGAAUCUAUUUGAAAAUAUUUUUGCUUUCAUUAUAAUAUAAGUCACAUUCUUCUUGCAUCUGCCGCUGCAUUUUCCAAAAGGGUUAUGUCAAGGGAAAUUCAACACUCACUUUUCUCAUUAUUUGCUUACCAGCUUGCUCACUCAUCAAAAUACCAGAGUUAUUUGAUACUUCAGAAGAUUAUUUCCCCCUUUAGAUGAUGUGUCAAGGGAAGGGGAGCUGGCCCCAGUAUCAGGUGACAGAAUUUUCUUCGCAUUUCUACUGUUGACUCAAUAAAUGCCCUUGGGCAAGUCAUGGAGCCUCUUCAUACUUUGGUCUCUAGGGAUAAAAUCUGCCAACCGCAGCAUGUGUAUUUGAACCUCAGUGUCCUCUGGAAUAAAAAUAGGAGGGGACCAGGUGUCCAUGUGACCCCAAGCUGAUGGGAAGAGGAUGACCAUAGGACUUCAAAAUGUCCUUGAGCUGUAAAUUCUGUAAUAGGGUCAGGCCCACCAGUGGCCUUCAGGCAUUUGUCCAGUGGUGUAUGGAUAAGUUCUAGCACUUGAGUUUUUUCAGCACAAAGGAGGCACUAUGUCAACCUCCCACCCAUGGGUAUUCUGUUUGCUCUGUGUCCCCGCUUCUCUGCAUUUCCCUGCCAUAUUACUCACCACUGGUCGUAAUUACUUGCUUGAUCACUUGUCUCCUGGUCUGUAAGCUGUUUGAGGGAGGGGAGCACAUCUGCCCUAUGCAACACUGUACCCUCAGUGUGGUACACAGGAGCACAUGCCUGACAUAUGGAAGUUAUGUGAGAAACAUUUGUGAAGUGGACAAAUUAAUAAUGCUGCCUGGACUCUAUAGAAAUCCCUUUUCUGCAUCAUUAAGGUUCCCAAGCCUGGCCAAGAAGUAGUGGGAUCUGAUUAGCCUCAUCUCCUCAUAACCCUACUUCCUAUAAUAUUAUAAUGAAAGCAGAUCUCAGCCCAAAUGCUGGCACACAUACAUAUUUAUCAGUAAGAAGAUCCAAAAUCGUUCAUGCAGCUGGUUCUGUAAGCUUGGCAAAUUUCCAGCCCUCUGAACUUUUCAGUGCUUUGUCCACACUCUACAUGAAAGGGCCUCUUAAGAGUGACAGGGCAGUAUUCUAAAGACCAGAUUUUAAUUGCACCAGGUAACUGAAUUGUCUGAAUUCACAGCUGAACACAGGACAAGGUCAGAAUCAUAUUUCUUAUGCCAUUUAGAAAGGUGACAAGUGAAGGGCUGGCCAAAAUCUUACACCCAGCUUACGUAAGAGUAGAGACUGUCCCUAAUGCUUUCCCCAGUCCACUUGUCUCGAACACCAUUAGGUUCAAUAGUAAAAGCCCAUUUCUCACUUGCUUCAUGUUAAUUGACUGAUCACUAAUUUUACCAAUAAGAAGCCAUUUUUAUUAUUUAUCAUUAUGAUUUUUAUCAUUUUGUUAAUUAGCCAAGCUUCUGCUGUUGACUCCAGAUAAAGAGAGUUAAAGCACUUGGGGUGACCACCUAAGUAGAUUUUUUCAUGGUGAACAAAUGGAAGCAACAGAAACAGCUCAGACUUUUGAAAAGUGAUGAAAAAGGCCCAUGAUGCCCUGCUCCUUGAAAAUGAAGAAGAGGAUGACUUAGCCCUGCAGGGCUCUUUUCUUUGCAUGUUCUUACCAACCCUCAGGGGAGAUUCAGUCUACUAGCUGGCUUCCCCACGUGGACCUCACUCUGUGGCAAGUAACUGGGAGUAAUUUACCUUCUGGGUUCUCUUACAACCCCCUUAGCUAUGUAGGUGAUUUCAGGCCCAAGGGGGAAGAUAUCAGAUAAGCCAGAACAUUUUGAUUCUACUGACCGAGUUUCCUCACCUCCCUCCCUUUGUUUCUGAUAAAUACAUACGUUAAGGUCAGCUGAAGAGUUGUCUGUGAUAAUUGCCCUGAAUCCUCACUCACUCCUCUGAAUUUCUGUCUUCUGUAGCCUCUUAGCCAUGUUGCAGGUGAAGGUCUCAAGUCAUUUGCACCACUAGGAAUCGUUUGUGUUAUUGUGACUGAUAUAUGUCCUCAGAGUUGUAUCAGUGUUGUCCCCUACACACACAUGCACAUACAUGCACCACACAAUAUGCACGUUCUAUAAGACAGAGCCUCUAUUUUUGGUGUCUGCUUAGCCCUCCAGUUUCCCAUUGGGAUUAGUUGUUUUCUCCAAGCUUCAGACAACUUGGAGAUCCUGCCUAACUUUGGUUGCUCUUCCUUGUCAGACUGGAACUUACCCUCAGUAUGGUACAACCAAUCACUGGCUCUCAGGGAACUCAUCACCCUGAACUAUGCCUGACAGGACAGGAGCACCAUCAUCUCGGACAAACACUGCCACUUUAAGUUCCAGCUCCCUUUCUAGCCUCAGGCAUUUCAAGAAAAUCACUUGUCUUCUCAUUACAAGCAGUCAGAAAGAGCAGACAGUAAAAUACAGAUAAGACGGGCACAGAGGGAAGUGGGAGGAAAGUCUCUUGGGUAACUGCCAAACUUCACCCUCAUACAAUGGGCCCCAGUAAAACAGUGGGCCUUAAUAAGCACAUUCCUUUCCUUUCAGGUGCACUAAGAUAGGAAGGCUAAAGGCAGAUUGGGGGGAUAUGCCUGCAGCUACAGAAAGAUGUAUGGGAACAGACACACAACUCUCCCUCCCAAAUAAGCACAACAGAGAGACACAGAAGCAGUCCAAGCCUCUGAUAAACUCUCCCACCCUGAAUCUUUAAAAACUCUUAGUCUGCAAGAGAGUGUGGCUUCUGACCUAACUCGAUCAGAAGUCCCUCCCAGGUUUAAAAUAAACCUGUUAACUGUUGAGCCACCCUUCGUGUUUCUCUCCUCUUUCUUUAAUUCUUACAAUGCCUUCCUGAUGGCUGACUGCCAGGAAACCCCUUGGAUACAAUAGCCUGAAGCUGCUUACUCCCCUGGGUGUUGCCCUCCUGGCUACCCAUGGAAGAGCAAGCCCUGUUGACAAGAGCUUCCCCCAGCUCUAAUCCUACCUGGUUAUGGUUUAUUUUCUUUCCCCACCAUCUGGGCAGUUAUGUUGGCCCAAGGAAUUUGACUCAGUAUUAUCAUAGCAUAGAGCUAAUUUUAUAUGUAUUUAUUUCCAUGGUAAACAAGUUAUUCCCAUUGUCUGUCAUUCCCACUAAGCCUGCUAGGGACAGCCCAAAGGAGCAGCUCUAAGUGAGGAUACUUUGCCCUGUAUGACCCCGUCCCUAGAGCAGAUUGGUUCAUGGUUGACACCUAACAAAAAGACAGCCAAUCGAUAGGUUGGUCAGCAACUUUUCUCAUAACCUGACGCAUACAUAAAAGCUGGGUUAAACGCCAUUUCUACCUUGGAAAUUUAACCAAAGAAAGGUCAAGAAAAAGCGAAAAGACUUGGGAGGAUGCUUUGAAAUGAAAAGAUAAGAAUUGGAGCUACAGUAGGUUGUAAGAAGCCCCGGUUGCAAAAUAUUGAAACUAUGAGCAAGCUGUAGUGAUGGUGGAGAGAAGAGUUUCAGGCCAAGGGAAAGAAGCAGCUCAGAGGAGACUGAGCUAGGCCAGUGGACAUGGCCCCCUAACUCCUGCCACAGAGCCCUGGAGUCUCCUGGAGCCAGAGUGGCUCCUCAGUCCCAGGGCAGUGAGGCCUAUCCCUUCCAAUGCCUCUUCCUUCCUUCUGUGGAAGACCAACUCCAUUGAUGUUCCAUGUUUAUCUCCCUCCUGAGCUAACCUAGCUGAGUCUGCUCCUUACAAUCAAGAAAACCCACCCACUUUACUGGAUUCUCUCUGUGUGCAGCGAUGGUGGCAUAUAUCUUUGUAGCUUUUUGCCUCUAAUAUAAUGCAUUAUAAGGGUAAGUGAUGAGUUCUCAGUAAAUGAAUGUUGAAUAAACGAAUUUUUGAAAGCGCAAAGGAACAGACAAGUUCAUACACUUACUGUUAUGUUGUAAAGUCUUCAGUUUGGCUUUCUCAAAGUUGAACAAAAGAUGGCUACAUUCCUAGCGUCCCCCCAAGCCUUUUCCUAGUCCAUGAGUUUAGAGAUGGACUGCAAAUUUUAAACAAUACAAAUCUAGAAUCAGAUUCAAAAUCUCCUUCAAGAGGACAAACACUCUACUCCUAUUCUCAAUCCAGUUUUUUGAACUGAUCAGCCCACACACGCACGCACACACACACACACACUCAAAAUUAUUUUAAUAUAUGGACAGUCCUCAGUGUUUUUGUUUGUUUGUUUGUUUGUUUUUUGAGAUGGAGUCUCACUCUGUCGCCCAGGCUGGAGUGCAGUGGCGCAAUCUCGGCUCACUGCGAGCUCUCCCUCCCGGGUUCACGCCACUCUCCUGCCUCAGCUGGGACUACAGGUGCCCGCCACCACGCCCAGCUAAUUUUUUUGUAUUUUUAGUACAGACGGGGUUUCACCGUGUCAGCCUGGAUGGUUUGGGUCUCCUGACCUCGUGAUCCGCCCACCUCAGCCUCCCAAAGUGCUGGGAUUACAGGCGUGAGCCACCGCACCUGGCCAUCUUCAGUGUUUUUAAUACCUGAGUUUGUGGUUCUAAUUGUCUGAUUGAGCUAAAAAUUAACAAGAACUGGUUUGAGAACAUCUUCCUGCUUGGAAGUUAUUUCACCAAUUCAUUCUUUUAUAACACUGUAAAAAAGUAACUUAUUACAAGGUAGUAGUAACCUUUUCUUCCAAAGAAAUAUAAAAAAUCAAUUUGGUUAUGAAGAGAACUUUUGAACUUGGAGUUACUGAAAAUUAUUUACCAUCAGAGGAAUAUGUACUGGUCCUAAGAACAAUGAUAAAAGCCACAGUCCCUACUCUGGCAGCUGCUGGGCUGGUGGCAGAAGUUGUCUCAUCUGCUUUUCCCCACCAUUCUGGGAGCACUAGUAGCUUUGACUAUACACAGCUAUCAGAAGAGGGAGAGUUCAGCCUAGACCAGGGGUUGGUCCACAAACCUUUAUGGCAAAGGGCCGAACAGUAAAUAUUUUAGGUUUUGUGGGCCCCAUAGUCUCCACUGCAAGUACUCCACUGUGCUAUGGUCACACAAAAGCAGUCAUAGACAAUAUGUGAAGGAAUGAGUAUGACUAUGUUCCAAUAAAAGUUUACAGGUGCAGAAAUUUGAAUUUUAUAUAAUUUUCAUGUGUCCCAAACUAUUAUUCUUCUUUUCAGCCAUUUAAAAACAUAAAAACCAUCCUUGCAUUGUGAGCUGUAUCAAAUCAGAGGAUGAGAACAUGGACGCAGGUUUGGGGUCCCUGCUUCCUACCCUAGCUGAGUGCUGGGGGAACAGGCUGUAGAAUAGAUGCCUCAGGUCAACAUGGGGGGCUCCCAGGGUGGAAAGACUAGGGUCUCCCUUCCCAAGGUGAGUUCUGGAGUGACUGUGAGCCCUAGUGAAGCUUCAUGUCCCCCAUGGUACCAGAGCAGCAGAGCAACGGUGGCCAAGGGGCCUGGACAGAAUACCCUGGAGCCAGCUUUGUGACAGGCCCCUACAAAUGAUAAGGACAAAGAGUCAAAGUUCCUGAGCCUCCAUUUCAAAGGAGAGAAGAAGAUGAUGAUGGCUGGCCAGCAAAUUCAGAGAAGACUGGGUUGGAAGGCGAGAUCUGCCUGGACUCUACAACCAGAGGCCAUUACAAGAUGGUGUCCCCUUGGCCAAUACAGCAGGGGAAACAGCUGAUGCCCAAAGACCGCAUGGUUUGGAGGAGGCUCUCCUCAGAGAAGAAGUGGCCUGCCUCCACUCCUCUGGGUUCCCUAGAGCUGGUGAGGGGUAGGAGAGGGGGUCUCAUUGUCUGUUUGUGCUAGAGGUACAGGGAGGGUUGUACACAGAAAACACUCCAAACUCCUCCAAUGCCAGAACUAAAAUGGAGUGCAUCUUAGAAGCAGUAUCUACCUUUCAUUAGAGAACAUUUUAGUCCAUAAACAAGGGAUAUUUAAAAGCCACACAAGGCUGGGUGCUAUGGCUCACGCCUGUAAUCCCAAUGCUUUGGGAGGUCCAGGAGUUUAAGACCAGCCUGGGCAACGUAGCAAGACCCCAUCUCUUAAAAUAAAAGCCACACCCAUCUCUUCCCACUGGACCAGGGGUCUUCCCAGACCAGCUGCAGGAUGCCUGACCUCCCGAGGGGCUGCACAUUCUGUUUGAGUCAGGGCAUCUCCAGGCAACAGCAGGAAACCCAGCCAGCCUCUGUGCUCUGGACACUUCUUGUGUGGCAAUGACUUUACUCUGGAGAGAGGUGGCCACACUGAAGUGCUCCCCCUUCUGUAGGUCAGCUUCCACGAACUAGAAGAGCUCUGUGAGUAGGGCUGUGGUCUCAGGAGGAUUAUUCCAGAAUCCCCUCAAAGUAUUUGUUUAAGUUUAGAAACAGUGAGGCCUGGAAAUGAUAAAAUUGUCCACAUUUGUCUGCCAUUAAUUCACUUUUAUGAGAAGCAAAGCCUUUGGUUUCUUUAAGCCUCAAUUUCUUUCUUUCUUUUUUUUUUUAAUUUAUUUUUUUGAGACAGAGUCUCGCUCUGUCACCCAGGCUGGAGUGCAGUGGCACAAUCUCAGCUCACUGCAAUUUCCGCCUCCUGGGUUCAAGCCAUUUUCUUGCCUCAGCCUCCCAAAGUUCUGGGAUCACAAGUGUGAGCCACUGUGCCCGGCCUAUGCCUCAAUUUCUUCCUGCCUUACUAUAGGUACAUCAUAUUUAUUUAAUUCCCUAAGUCCCUCCUCAACAGAUUUUAUUCUACUACUGAAAUCCAGUCUGCAGAAACUAAAAGUUGUAUAGUGGAUAUGAAAUUUAUAUAACCACCAUAGUUCAGUAUCUCAGGGGUAAAAAUAAAAUGUGACUAUUUAUUUCCACAAAACUGAACCUAUCAAUUCAAGAUAACUUUUGCUUUAAAACUCACGACUCCUUGAAUCAAUAGUCAAUUUCUGGAUCUUUCUCCUCCUCCUAGGUCCUCUUCUCCCUGAAGGCUGUCACAGUUCCUGUGCAGAGAGAGAGGGCACUGCAGCACCCAGGCGCUGACUGCCUUUUGUCAGUCUCAUUUGCAGGCCCCCAGCUGGAGAACCCAGGAGGAAGAGGAAAAAAGUUUUUUCCUCCUCUACACUCCCCAUGCAUGACUAAAGAGUAGGAGGAGUCAGCAAGGCAGACAUAUAUAGUACCCAGGAGGUGGACAAACAACUGCCUUGGUGGAAACUCUGUCCUUUCUGGACUUAUCCUGGUGCCACUGAGACUGUGCAGGUGAGUCUGUGUGUAUUAGGAGACAGUAUGACUAACAGGGAGUUCCAAAAUUCGCUUUCAUGUAGAGAACAAUGCAUAUCAACGGAUAAGUAAUACAAUUUGCUAAUUUGAAGCAUACAUGUAUUUAGCUAAAACUCACAGAAAUUGUUUAGAAUUUAAACCCAAAAACUACUUUGCGAGGAAGGUGUUUUAUCACAGCCAUUAUGUAGAAUUGCCCAUUUGUGGGCAAUUGCCAGUUCAUAGGCUUUUCAUAAAAAGUGAAUUACCUUUUAUUUGGUUUUAUUAUUGCUUAUAAACCUCUACUGUCUGCACCUAUAGCAAGCCAUGUAUCUGGCUCCCCUCCCACCUUCUCACCUUGGAACACCACCAGCUGUAGGCAUCUACAUGCAGCAGGAAGCAUCACUGAGUAAGUUCGACUACACAUCAAGGGUAGACACCACACUGUCCAUCCAGCCUGCUCUGAACUGGCCCUGGGAAGGCGUGUCUGGAGAAGCUGUGUUGGAAGGAUUAGAAUAAUACACAUCUCCACACUUACCCACUCUGCAUGGGCUGCCUGAGAAAACUGUGUACCAGAAUGUGUUAAGAGUUGGAGAGGACAGAUGCAGGUUUUAAGAGCCUGUUUUUUGUGCCCUCUUCAGGAAGAUUAAGUGGAUCCUCCUAUAGAAAGGUGUAUUCAUGAAGGCUGCCUGCAGUGGACUGAGUGGUCAUUCCACUUGGGGUCAAGAUGGGGUUCAUGACAAAGCAUGUAACAGAGCACCAAGGAGGUGCCCUGGCCAUAUUGGAUGGAGUUCAGGACAGAAUCCAGUCCUGAACAAGGAGGAAUGGAGUACCUGGUCAGUGCUCAAGACAAGAGUCUCAUCCUUUUCUUUUCUUUACUUUUCUUUUUCUUUUUUUUUUUUUGAGACAGUCUCACUCUGUCAUCCAGGCUGGAGUGUAAUGGCGCGAUCUCGGCUUACUGCAACCUCUGCCUCCCGGGCUCAAGCGAUUCUCCUUCCUCAGCCUCUGGAGUAGCUGGGAUUACAGGCGCCCACCACCAUGCCUGGCUAAUUAUUAUUAUUUUUUUUUUGGUAUUUUUAGUAGAGACAGGGUUUCACCAUGUUGGUCAGGCUAGUUUCAAACUCCUGACCUCAAGUGAUCUGCCUGCCUCGGCCUGCCAAAGUGCUGGGGUUAUAGGCGUGAGUCACCGCGCCCUGCCAGCCCAUCCUUAUAACGUGCCCAUCAUGCCAACAUGAUGGCAUGUUGUAAGUCCAUGUUAUGCGUGUGCCUGGUGUGUGUGUGUGUGUGUGUGUGUGUGUGUGUAUGAUGUGUUGGGGGUGUGGCAUUGCUGCUUCAGCUCCCUAGGUUCACCCCAGUCUCAGAGCACCAGGUUAAAAACAACUCAAAAAAUUCUAGCCACCAUCUGCUGGAGCAGCUGAGGCUUCUGGUCAUGGGCUCAGUCUGCAACAAAGGAGCAGCUGAGCAGAACUGGACCAAGUUACCAGCCCCUACAGAAGCAAUGAAUUCUGGCUCAGGAGCUGAGAGCUAUUUACUGGUAACAUUUUACCUGGUCUUACAAUUGAAGUUCGCCUAUCAGGUAUAGAAAAGGAGAAAACCUCAUGAGCCAAUGUGGAAAAGAGACAUUUUGUGGCCCCUUUGGGGAACUCUUGACUGUGGCAUGGAUUUAUGGCCUGAAACGGUAGAAGAAGAACAUAAAGGAGAAAUUUGGCAUCAGGUUGGCAAGAGUCUUGAAUGCUUGCCACAGAGUUGGGGCAAUGGGGAACAAUAGAAGGUUUGUAAGCAGAAUAAAGGGGGAAUGAAGUGUUUUAGAGAUACAACUCUGGAGGCAGUGAAAAGGAAGAACUGGGAAGGGGAGAUGUUGAUUGGAAGCAUCAAGACCUGUUAUGAAGGUGCCUGCAGAAGUCCUGGAAUAGAUAACAAGGGCCUGGGUUGGGGGUACAAGGAUGAAAGGCCCAGACAGAUCUCCACUAAACCUAGUGUGAAGCUAAACAGAUCAACGCACUCAUCAGAUACAGCCAUGGCAGGGACUAUGGCAAGGGAUAGACAAGCACUUCAGCCAGAGCAUGAUGGUCAGGGAUGUCAUAUAGAAAUGCUCCCUGAACUGCAUUCUGAAGGAUGAUCCAGUGAGCCAGGCAGGAAGGCACCAGGCAGAGGGAGCAGCACGUGCAAAGGCACGGAGGCCCAGGAGAGCAUGGGGCCUUUGACUUGCAAGAGAUUUCCUGUGUGUGAUUGCUAUAUGGGGUAGGUAUGGGUAGGGGAGUGUCAGCAGGAGGCUGAUUCACAAGGGGCUUGGUUGGUUUACUGUUGGUUUGUUUACCCAUGCUGAUUAGUUUACUAAGGGCAAAAAGGAGCCAUUGAAAGUGAAGGUUGAAAUAUGGUUCUGGAGCCUACAAGACAAGGUGGGGCAGUAGAUACAGGAUGGAAGGUCUUUAUAUGUGAAUCUGGUUUGGAAUAGCUGGAAGAACACGCCCAGAUUUCUUCUCUUUGUGCUCUAUUCUUUAAAUUGUAUUUUAUGUGGCAAUCGAUUUACUGGUACUUUUCCCCCAGUCUAGAUAAUUAUUAACUGUAUGGAUUUUGCCAGUAAGAAAUUAAUCUGCUCUGUGGAGCAAAUUGUUUGGACAGAACAACCUUCAAACUUUGUUUCUGCCCUGGCAGCCAGAAGGUUGCAAUGUGAGCUGAAUUUGGCCCUAAACUAAGUCCUGGUGGCUAAUGAGCCAUGAGCCAAGGCUGAGAAGUGGGGUGGCUUGUGCCCUGCAGUCGUGAGAAAAGGCACAGGGCAGCUCUACGUGGACUUGGGCUUAGCAUCUCUGGGUUGCUCAGAGGGCAAAGUGUCCUGAGGGAGGUAAAUUGUGGUAAAACAGUUUAAAAAGUGAGAGGAAUGGGAGAGGUGAAGCUUAAUUCCUGCUGGUUCCACGGUGAUGCUAUAAUGCUUAGGAGUUGAAAAACGAUUUCUCUAGCCCAUAGGAACUCAAACUCACUGAAAGAGAAAAAACUUGGCAUUGCUUUAGCAAAAUUCAAGUAGAUGCUACAUUCCACUGGAAUAAUCUAGAAUGCAUGUGCUAGUUUCUUCUAUACUGCAGGUCGCAUUCUCUGGCAGGCCUGCUUCACUUGGCAGCAACACUUUUAAAGAGAAACGGCUACAUCUCCAGGUUCUGUGCCCCGGGCUUGCAGAGAAAAGGAAUAAAAUUAAAACAGUAUUUGAACUUUUAAAAAUAUUUAAAUUGCUGGCUCAUUUCAGACUGGCGUUUCUUAAAAUAAUGGUCUCUACUCACCAAGCCACUGCCAAGGGACCCACGGUGGCUGUCCUGUAUCCUUGGGUUCAAUUAGAAGAACUCUCCUUGCUCAUCAAGGCUUUUCAUAGCUGUCUUUCCCAUUUAUCCUCCACACCUGUGAACUUCUGUCAUAAGUUCUAGUCCAGCCCAUCAUCUCGCUGGUUCCACUGGACACCAGGCACUAUACUUACCUUUUCUUUUCUUUUCUUUCCUUUUCUUUUCUUUCUUUAUUUUCUUUCUUUCUUUCUCUCUCUUUUUCUUUCUCUCUCUCCCUUCCUUCCCUCCUUCUUUCCUUCUUUUUUUUUUUUUUUGAGAUGGGCCCUCACUCUGUUGCACAGGCUGGUCUCAAACUUCUGGGCUCAAGUGAUCCUUCUGCCUCAGUCUCUUAUGUAGCUGGGACCACAGGUCCAAAGGCAUAUGCCAUCACAUCUGGCUAACUUUUUGCUUUUGUGUAGAGACGGACUCUCACUUUGUUGCCCAGGCUGGUCUCGAACUUUCAAGCCAUCCUCCCACCUCGGCUUCCCAAAGUGCUGGGAUUGUAGGCGUGAGCCACCAUGCUCUACCUGUACUUGCUUCUAUUUUUGCAUUCUGUUAGAUUGUGUCCUUCAUGACGUAAAGAAUGCACACCCAGUAGAAUGCAUUUCUAUUCUUGCAUGCUACUUUGCAUUCUUGUUUACAAAGCUUCCCCUAACUUCCUCCCUCCUUCUCCACCUGCUCAAAUAUGUCAAUAUUCAGACUUGGACCCAGCCCUUCUGUUGCUGACUGUUCUGGUGGCAGGCCCUUCUCCCUGCCAAACAGGACCUCAGUGCUGUUUAGGGGUCCAGCUCUCUCCAGCUAAGGGGAAGGUGACCUGGCCACAGCUCAAGAUAAUUUCCAACUUCUAAGUCAAUUAUCAUGGUCCCAUCCCCUGACCAUGACUAGCUGGGGUGGGCAGGCUGGUUGGUUUGUAGAACAUCCUUCAAUUUCCAACUUCCAAUUCAAUUUGCCUGGUUGUUUCCUCAUUCCUCGUGAUUAGAUUCAGCUUAAACAAUUUGAGGUCGGAAUAUGAAUAAUCUCUUGAUUAACCGAGAGGGUAACUGGUAUUUAUAAUUCCUGAAUCCUUUAAAGUGUGAGGAGAGCCAUAGAAUCCAUGUCCUUGGGGACAUCUUGUUUAUUUUUAUUUUUACUUUUAUUUUAGGUUGGAGGGUACACAUGCAGGCUUGUUACAUACGUAAACUCGUGUCACGAGGGUUUGCGCUACUGGUUGUUUCGUCACCCAAGUAUGGAGCCUAGUACCCAAUAGUUAUCUUUUCUGAUCCUUUCCCUCCUUCCAUGUUCUACCCUCAAAUAAGCCCCAGUGUGUGUUGUUCCCCUCUACGUGUGCAUGUGUUUUCAUCAUUUAGCUCCCAUUUAUAAGUGAGAAUAUGUGGUAUUUGGUUUUCUGUUCCUGCAUUAGUUUGCUAAGGAUAAUGACCUCCAGCUCCAUCCAUGUUCCUUCAAAAGACCUGAUCUCAUUCUUUUUUUGUAGCUUCAUAGUAUUCCAUGCCGUGUGUAUAUGCACCACAUUUUCUUUAUCCAAUCUGUCACUGAUGGACAUUUAGGUUGAUUCUAUGUCUUAGCUAUUAUAAAUAGUGCUGCAACAAACUUUUGAGUGAGUAUGUCUUUAUGGCAGAAUGAUUUAUAUUCCUUUCGGUAUACACCCAGUAAUGAAUGGGACUGCUGGGUUGAAUGGUAGUUCUGUUUUUAGCUCUUUGAUGAAUGACCACACUGCUUUCCACAAUGGCUGAACCAAUUUACACUCCCACCAACAAUGUAUAAGCAUUUGCUUUUCUCUGCAACCUUGCCAGCAUGUUAUUCUUUGACUUUUUAAUAAAAACCUAACAUUCCAACAGGUGUGAGAUAGUAUCUCAUUGUGGUUUUGAUUUGCAUUUCUCUAAUGACAAUGAUGUUGAGCUUUUUUUCAUAUACUUGUUGGUAGCAUGUAUGUCUUCUUUGGUAAAAUGUCUGUUCAUGUCCUCUGGGGGCAUCUUUUUUAUAAGCGAGUUUCUCAAAUAUAUACCAGACAUGGGAAUCCUGUGAUUUUGUGUUUCUCGUCCAAACUAGUGAAGCCACUUGCAUUAAGAGAGGCCCUUACCUCUCCAGGCCCUUGGCAGUCCUGCAUUAUCCACACAUUGCCCAACCCGGGGCCCCACAGUUAGGCCUGUGCUGCUGCCAGGGAUUGCUGUGGGUGGAGAUGGCAAGGGCCUGACAGAUGCCUACGUUAUUGCCACCACCCCCAGGGCAAGUUUCUCCAGGGAUUCAGCAGAGGCUCAGCUUGUAGCCUCAAGGGCUCUCUGGCUCUACCUCCUUUCUGCCUGGAGGAUCGUAGCCCUGGCCCUCAAAAGGCUGAAUGUGGAGGGGAAUGGGGCCAGGCACUUUUAUAGUACAUCACAUAGGCACAGGAUAAAUGUUUUGAGGGAAUCAGGAGUAAGGAGGUAGAAAGAGCUUUAGUGAUAAUUGACUGUUUUUCAGAUCAAUGCCAUGAAAUAAUACAAACAGCAAGAGGAUAUCUCAUUGUUAUUAUUUUGCUUACCAAUAUUCUAGAGCUUUAGGCAAAAUUGCAAAGGAGCUAUUAUUUUUCUUUGGUGUCUUCAAGCCUCCCCUUCUAGUCCCUCACUAUUGUCCUUCCUUAGACUUCUAGAGCUCAAAAUGGCUUCUAUCAGGAAUUAGCUUCGGUUUCUUUGUUCACACCAAAGUGUAUAUGGCUAAUAACAUUUUAAAGUGUUACUUCUAUGGAGAUGUUGGCAUUUUGCCAGGUUCAACAGCCAAUAGAAGAAAUGCAGCUUAAAAUUCCUUGCAUCUGCCAGAUGGGGAAAAUAUGUGACUCUGUAUAUGGAUCUCCCCUAAAAUUCAUUUAUUUGUUCAAUAAAUAUUUAUUGAGGCCUAUUAUAGCAAAACCUUAGGGAAAUAAGGAAUGCAUAUUAAAGUACACAGAAAAGAAUUUACGCGAAUGGGCAAAAUGAGGCAGGCAGUGUUACAUGUCUUGUCUGAGAUUACCAAAUUUACUUCUGACAAUCAAUCCAUAAAUCACUCAAGAAACAGAGGAAAUACUGGAGAACUGUUACUCAGUCUGUGAUCUGCAUUUAUAGUGUAGUUUGGGUAGCAAGAAUAAUAUGCAUGAAGCAAUUAGCCAGUUGUUAUGGAUUGAAUGUGUCCCCCCAGCAAAUUCCCAUGUUGAAGCCUUGACUCCCAGUUUGAUAGCAUUUGAAGAUGGGGCCUUUGGGAGGUAAUUAGGGCUAGAUGGGGUCAUGAGGGUGGGCCCUUGUAGGGCAUUAGGGCCCUCGUAAGAAGAGAAAUCAGGCCGAGUGCAGUGGCUCACGCCUGUAAUCCCAGCACUUUGGAGGCUGAGGCGGGCGGAUCACCUGAGGUCAGGAGUUUGAGACCAGCCUGGCCAACAUGGUGAAACCCCGUCUCUACUAAAAAUACAAAAAAAUUAGCUGGACGUGGUGGCGGGCAGGCGCCUGUAAUCCCAGCUGCUUGGGAGGCUGAGGCAGGAGAAUCUCUUGAACCCGGAGGCUGAGGUUGCAGUGAGCCGAGAUCAUGCCAUUGCACUCCAGCCUAGGCAACAAGAGAGAAACUCCAUCUCAAAAACAAAACAACACAAAACAAAAAAAGAAGAGAAAUCAAAGCUUGUUCCCUGUCUCUCUCUCUCCACAUGUGAGCACACAAAGAGGUCACGUGAACACACAAUGAGAAGGAGGCUGCCUGCAAGUUAAGAGAAGAGGCCUCAGCAUGAAACCUGCCUUACUGGCACUUUGGUCUUGAACUUCCCAGCCUCUAAAACUGUGAGAAAUAAGUUUCUGUUGUUCAAGCCACCCAGUCUAUGGUAUUCUGUAUGGCAGCCAGAAUUAAGACACCAGUGAAGCAAGAUAAUCAGUAACUGGAUACUUAACUGUGUGGUAUAAAACAUAGGGGCUUUAGUAGAGAAGAAAAUUGGACUUUGUUGGGGACAUCCUUACUACUUCUGCUCAUGUAUCAUGCUUUAGCUUGUUUCUGUCUUUGGAGGAGGCUGCAUAUUUUUAAAAUACCCCCAAAAGUACAAAGACUAAUGUUAUAGCCCCUGUGUUCUCAUUAUCCAGGCUUAAUAAAUGUUGGCCAUUUUCCACUUUUGUUUCAUAUAUAAGUUUCUACAAAAUGACAACACCUUAGAUAAAGCUGAAGUUCAUGUUUCAUUCUGCAUCCCUUCCCCCAAGGGCUUCUUUUGCUCAAUAUGGGACUCAUGAGAGUCAUCGGUGUUGUGUGAGGCAGCUGUUUGUUGAUUUUCUGGACCAAAUAAUGUUCCACCGUGUGACUGGACAUACCUUAGUCUAUCCAUUCUACCACUGAUGAGCAUGUAAGCUGUUACUAUUUUUAACUAUUACAAAUUAUCUUGCUAACACAUUUUUGUGCAUGUCUUUUGGUGACCAAAUGGACUCAUUUCUCUCAGGUAUGUAUCUCAGAGUGAAACUGUUUUAUCACAGUGUAUGCUUUAUAUUUAGUGCUUUCCAAUUCCUGAUUAAGAAAUCUUUGCCUGCUCCUAAGGAUGUAAAAUUAUUCUCUUAUGGCCUGGCUCAGUGGCUCAUGCCUGUAAUCCCAGCAUUUUGGGAGGCCAAGGUGGGAGGAUUGCUUGAGGCCAGGAGUUCAAGACCAGCCUGGGCAACAUACUGAGACCCUCAUCUCUACAAAAAAAAAAAUUUGUUUAAUUAGCUGAGCUUGGUGGUAUGCACCUAUAGUCCUAGCUACUCAGGAGGCUGAGGCAGGAGGAUCGCUUGAGCCCAGGAAUUCAGAGAUGCAGUAAGCUAUGAUCAUGCCACUGUAUUACAGCCUGGGUGAUAGGGUGAGACCCUGUCUCUAAAAAGAUACAUCUAUUAAAAAUAAUAUUAUUUUAUUUUAUUUUAUUUUAUUUUAUUAUUAUACUUUAAGUUUUAGGGUACAUGUGCACAUUGUGCAGGUUAGUUACAUAUGUAUACAUGUGCCAUGCUGGUGCACUGCACCCACUAACUCGUCAUCUAGCAUUAGGUAUAUCUCCCAGUGCUAUCCCUCCCCCCUCCCCCGACCCCACAACAGUCCCCAGAGUGUGAUGUUCCCCUUCCUGUGUCCAUGUGAUCUCAUUGUUCAAUUCCCACCUAUGAGUGAGAAUAUGCGGUGUUUGGUUUUUUGUUCUUGCGAUAGUUUACUGAGAAUGAUGAUUUCCAAUUUCAUCCAUGUCCCUACAAAGGACAUGAACUCAUCAUUUUUUAUGGCUGCAUAGUAAAAAUACAUUUUAAAAAAUAAUAAAUUAUUCUCUUAUGUUAUUGUCUAGAAUCUUCAUUAUUUUACCUUUCAGAUUUAGAUCUACAAUCCACCUGGAAUUGAUUUUUGUAUAUGGAGUGAGGUAGAGGUCAAGUUUUGCUUUUUCCCGUUUGACUGUCUUAUUAACUUAACAUCAUUGAUGUAAAUGACCACUCUUUUCCUACUAUGCUUCAGUGCCACCUUUGUCAUAAUCAAGUGUUCCUUCAAGUAUGCAUCUGCUUCUGACUCUCUCCCUUCUGUUCCUUUGAGCUAUUUGUCCUGGGCCUUUACUGCACAUCUCAGAUUUGUCCCAACAAGGAUUGAAGAAGCUGGGUUAUUCAUCCACCAAUUCCUAUUACUCAUUGGUGAAAAGUUGCUCCUGGGGACAUGAACUCCCUUGCACUUCUGCCGUGCUCUGGGAACAAGCCAGAAAUAGUCCUAUGACCAGGGAAAGUCUCCAGGAUCUACUUCUCCACUUACACAAUUGUUGGCAGCAUCCAGUUCCUUGUAGUUAUGGGACUGAGAGCUUCAGAUUUUUGUUGAUUGUUGGCCAGAGACCACCCUCAGCUCGCAGAGGACACCCCCAGUUCUUUGCCAUUUAGGACUGCCCAACAUGGCUACUUGCUUCCGCGUAGUCAGCAAGAGAAAGACUAGCAUGGUGGGCACUACACUCCUAUGGAAUGUAAUCACGUAAUCAUGUAUACAUAAUCACAUGUAUCUUACCCACAUGUAUCCACAUGUACCCACAUCUUAUCACAUGUAUCUUAUUCCAUUUGUGUCACAGGUCCCACACUUACAGGGAAAGCAUCACCCGAAAGUGAGAAUGCCUAGAGGCAGGAAUCAUGGAGGCUUCCUUAACCGUCUGUCUGCAACAGCAGGUGCUAGAGAUGACACUGCAGAGUAGAGAACAAAGGAAUCUUAGUAAUUGUUCAAUCCAAUCUCCACACUUUAAAGAUGAAGAAACUGGUAUUGAGAAAAAUACACAGCUUAUCCAAGGUUGCACUGCUGGUUGGUAGCUGAGAUGAAUUUAGAACCCACAUCUGAUGACUACACCAUAUUGCUCCCAGUUUUCCUGUCUGUUCCACAUGUAAAAGUCUGACUCUUCACUUCUCCUUUGAGUAUAUAGACUUUUAACAUUUUUGUAUGUCAAGAUGGACUUUUCCUCAUACCCAGCCCCUGCCUUUUCUCCUCCCUUCAUACCUUGCAGGAUCUUUAACAGAAUUUAAAAGGAGUUUUUUGUUUUGUUUUGAUGUAUCUAAUAAAAGUCAAGGGAGGGAGAGGGCCAGUAUAAGCAAGAGUACAGUUUCCUAGUUUGUAGAUGCGGUAGUCUGAGGAAUCAGAAACACACAAAGGUUUGGAGAACUGGUACAUGCUCCCAGGUGGGAAGCCAGGACUCUUGGUAGGAUCUUGAGGACAAGGCAAAGGACAAUAAGAGAGCGAGGGGAUCCUAGAGGUGGAAUCAAGGAAGAGAAACUAGAGAGAGAAAAAGGAACUGGCUAUCCAUCCAUGAUGGAUCCUGUGUGGACUGAUGGGUGGCUUGGCAUCAUCCUUUAGUAGACUUCAUGUGGUUGAAUAAUUGGCCAAUGGAAGGAAUUUCUUUUUUGGUAACAGACUCUGUGUGUACAGUUAUGGGUCUUAAUUUAUAAUAAAAGGUUACAUUGAAAAUUGAGCAUAUUGGCAACUUUGGGCUUUAAUAUUACUACUGUGCUAUUUAGGUCCCAACCAUCCUAGCUAAUCUGGGCAUUCUUGAAACAGCUCUCAUUAUUGGUAUGUCAAACCGUCUCAUAGGGCAUGUACUUAACAAAAGUGGAGUGAAGGGUUCAGGAUGCAUAAAUGGGGUGAAGCUCGUGGUAUUCCAUUCCUUUUUACUGAAGCCACUCCUACCAGCUGCCUUCUAGAUUGUUCACCUUAUAUGAGCAUGGUGCAGUAUAGAAGUUGUAGACUUUGGCCUCAGACAGAUCUAAAUUCUAAUCUCAGAUCACUACUUCCUGGUUGAGGACAAGAUUUCUUUAACCACCCCAAGUCCCAAUUUUCUCAUGUCUAAAAUGGCAGAAAUAAUGUGUACUUUGCAGGGUUGUUGUGAGAGUUAAGUAAUAUGGGUAAUGCACUUGGGACAGUGCUUCACACAAAAUUGUCAGUAAAUGGUGAUCUUUCUUUUCCUGGCACUACAAAGCUGAGGAGAGGAGGGAGGGAGGGAGAUGAAUGUCU